AGAGUUUGAUCCUGGCUCAGGAUGAACGCUAGCGGCAGGCUUAAUACAUGCAAGUCGAGGGGCAGCAGGGGUAGCAAUACCCGCUGGCGACCGGCAAACGGGUGCGGAACACGUACGCAACUUUCCUUCAAGUGAGGAAUAGCCCAGGGAAACUUGGAUUAAUACCUCGUAAUAUUAUGAAGUGGCAUCACUUUAUAAUUAUAGCUCCGGCGCUUGAAGAUGGGCGUGCGCCUGAUUAGGUAGUUGGCGGGGUAACGGCCCACCAAGCCUACGAUCAGUAACUGGUGUGAGAGCACGACCAGUCACACGGGCACUGAGACACGGGCCCGACUCCUACGGGAGGCAGCAGUAAGGAAUAUUGGGCAAUGGACGCAAGUCUGACCCAGCCAUGCCGCGUGGAGGAUGAAGGUCCUCUGGAUUGUAAACUUCUUUUAUCUGGGAAGAAAUCCAUAUUUUCUAAUGUGGUUGACGGUACCAGAUGAAUAAGCACCGGCUAACUCCGUGCCAGCAGCCGCGGUAAUACGGAGGGUGCAAGCGUUAUCCGGAUUCACUGGGUUUAAAGGGUGCGUAGGUGGGCAGGUAAGUCAGUGGUGAAAUCUCCGGGCUUAACCCGGAAACUGCCGUUGAUACUAUCUGUCUUGAAUAUCGUGGAGGUUAGCGGAAUAUGUCAUGUAGCGGUGAAAUGCUUAGAUAUGACAUAGAACACCGAUUGCGAAGGCAGCUAACUACACGAUCAUUGACACUGAGGCACGAAAGCGUGGGGAGCAAACAGGAUUAGAUACCCUAGUAGUCC
rnacentral:rRNA from 1 species